ACUACGGGUGGCAGCAGUGGGGAAUAUUGCGCAAUGGGCGCAAGCCUGAUCCAGCAACGCCGCGUGAAGGAAGAAGGCUUUCGGGUCGUAAAGUUCUUUUGUCAGGGAAGAGUAAAGGACGGUACCUGACGAAUAAGCCACGGCUAACUACGUGCCAGCAGCCGCGGUAAUACGUAGGUGGCAAGCGUUAUCCGGAUUUACUGGGUGUAAAGGGAGUGUAGCCGGGAUGGCAAGUCCGAUGUGAAAUCCUGCGGCUUAACCGCAGAACUGCUUUUGAAACUGUAGAUCUUGAGUACAGGAGAGGUAGAUGGAAUUCCUGGUGUAGCGGUGAAAUGCGUAGAUAUUAGGAGGAACACCGGUGGCGAAGGCGGUCUACUGGACAGCAACUGACGGUGAGGCGCGAAAGCGUGGGGAGCAAACAGGAUUAGAUACCCGAGUAGUC
rnacentral:rRNA from 1 species